ensembl:ncRNA Y15E3A.10 ncRNA
CCUUUUAAAGUAAUGUCGUAUAUCAGAAUAUGUACGACUAUAAUUUAUUUUGGAAUGAGAACCAAAGUC